UUUAUACAUAAAAUAUUUCUUGUCCUACCUUGCAUAACUGAAUAACCUUUAUGGCACAAUAACAAUUCAAUACAUUUAUGGUUACUACAGUAUUUGGAUUUAAUAAUCUUCAUGUGGGAAAAGGCUGACUUGCAUAAAUAAGUAGAGCCAAAUAAUGCAGUCAAGGAGCUUUUGAAUUCAGCAGAGUGAAAAAUGACGGCUAUCCCAUUAACUGCGAUUUUAGUUCCCUCUCCUUUCUCUUUCUCAGAUCGCUUUUCGGAAGGAAGUCAGUUUCAUAGUUUUUAUGAACAGUUCGAAAGUGCCUUUCCACAUUUUCCUUCUUUGGAAUAGCAAUGAUAGAUUGACAGAUCAGACAAACGCACUUUGAUUGUAACAUUGUGAGAAAAAAAAAUCCUCUUCCAAUUCCACAUCCAGCCCAUACCAUCCCCAAACAAUUUUUUUUUUUUUAAAUCCCUUCUUUAGUCGAUAUAAAUUGGAAGGUUAACUAGAUCACAGCCGGAGUUUUGCAGUAGCUCGCGCGUUUGAUUGUGCAGAUCUCAGACUGGCCGCCCUGUAUGUCAAUCAAGUGGCAAAUGCCAUAGGGAGGAUACAGUAUAUGAUAGACAAACGUUUAAAAAACAUUUUUUUGAAUGCAACACGAUCUACCUGCACUACCUUUGCGAUCUACUGGUCGAUCGCAAUCGACGCAUUGGGCACCCCUGAU